rnacentral:rRNA from 1 species
UACAGAGGUCUCAAGCGUUGUUCGGAUUCAUUGGGCGUAAAGGGCUCGUAGGCGGCUGCUCAAGUCGAAUGUGAAAACUCGAGGCUCAACCUCGAGCCUGCAUUCGAUACUGGGCGGCUAGAGUCUGGUAGGGGGAUCUGGAAUUCCUGGUGUAGCGGUGGAAUGCGCAGAUAUCAGGAGGAACACCGGUGGCGAAGGCGGGAUCCUGGGCCAGUACUGACGCUGAUGAGCGAAAGCGUGGGGAGCAAACAGG